UACGGAGGAUCCAAGCGUUAUCCGGAUUUAUUGGGUUUAAAGGGUGCGUAGGCGGACCAGUAAGUCAGUGGUGAAAUCUCUUUGCUUAACAAAGAAACUGCCAUUGAUACUGCUAGUCUAGAGUAUAGAUGACGUUGGCGGAAUAUGACAUGUAGUGGUGAAAUACUUAGAUAUGUCAUAGAACACCGAUUGCGAAGGCAGCUAACGAAACUAUAACUGACGCUGAGGCACGAAAGUGCGGGGAUCAAACAGG
rnacentral:rRNA from 1 species